rnacentral:rRNA from 1 species
AUUGAACGCUGGCGGCAGGCCUAACACAUGCAAGUCGAGCGGAUGACGGGAGCUUGCUCCUGGAUUCAGCGGCGGACGGGUGAGUAAUGCCUAGGAAUCUGCCUGGUAGUGGGGGAUAACGUCCGGAAACGGGCGCUAAUACCGCAUACGUCCUGAGGGAGAAAGUGGGGGAUCUUCGGACCUCACGCUAUCAGAUGAGCCUAGGUCGGAUUAGCUAGUUGGUGGGGUAAAGGCCUACCAAGGCGACGAUCCGUAACUGGUCUGAGAGGAUGAUCAGUCACACUGGAACUGAGACACGGUCCAGACUCCUACGGGAGGCAGCAGUGGGGAAUAUUGGACAAUGGGCGAAAGCCUGAUCCAGCCAUGCCGCGUGUGUGAAGAAGGUCUUCGGAUUGUAAAGCACUUUAAGUUGGGAGGAAGGGCAGUAAGUUAAUACCUUGCUGUUUUGACGUUACCAACAGAAUAAGCACCGGCUAACUUCGUG